AGGACGAACGCUGGCGGCGUGCUUAACACAUGCAAGUCGAGCGAGAAAGCUCCUUCGGGAGUGAGUACAGCGGCGAACGGGUGAGUAACACGUGGGCAACCUGCCCUAGGGAGCGGGACAACUCGGGGAAACUCGAGCUAAUACCGCAUGAUUCGGCUUUGCAUAAGUAAGGCCGGGAAAUGGUAGCUUAGGCCUCCGCCCUAGGAUGGGCCCGCGGCCGAUUAGCUAGUUGGUGCGGUAACGGCGCACCAAGGCGACGAUCGGUAGCUGGUCUGAGAGGACGAUCAGCCACACUGGGACUGAGACACGGCCCAGACUCCUACGGGAGGCAGCAGUGGGGAAUCUUGCGCAAUGGGCGAAAGCCUGACGCAGCAACGCCGCGUGGGGGAAGAAGGCCUUCGGGUUGUAAACCUCUUUCAGGGGGGACGAAGCUUCCAGGGUUAAUAGCCCAUGGGGUGACGGUACCUUCAGAAGAAGCCCCGGCUAACUACGUGCCAGCAGCCGCGGUAAUACGUAGGGGGCAAGCGUUGUCCGGAAUUAUUGGGCGUAAAGAGCGUGUAGGCGGCUUGGUAAGUCUGGUGUGAAACCUUGGGGCUCAA
rnacentral:rRNA from 1 species